GAAAUGCGAUAAGUAGUGUGAAUUGCAGAAUUCAGUGAAUCAUCGAAUCUUUGAACGCACAUUGCGCCCCUUGGUAUUCCAUGGGGCAUGCCUGUUCGAGCGUCAUUUGUACCCUCAAGCUCUGCUUGGUGUUGGGUGUUUGUCCCGUCUCCGCGCGUGGACUCGCCCCAAAGUGAUUGGCAGCCGGCGUACUGGUCCCGGAGCGCAGCACAUGUCGCGCAAACGAGUGCCUUGGUACGGCGGCGUCCAUAAGCCCCUCUCUCACGCUCUUGACCUCGGAUCAGGUAGGGAUACCCGCUGAACUUAAAC
rnacentral:misc_RNA from 1 species